CGCCGGUCCGUCUUUCGCGCACAGUGCUGGUUGGGCGGCAAAAGGAACUGGUUCAGCCGGCUCCUCUACGUGCUCACCUAUUUCAUACGGUGCUCAGAACUGUUAGAGACAGAUGCUCUAGAGACUGGAAAUGACGAGCAGGACGAGGAGGCUUUUGCUGUGCCUGGAUCAGUUAUUACAACCUCGUUGCGCCGUGGAGAGGUUGAGGAGUCAGAAUAUGUGCUGGUCACUGUGCACAAGCCUAGCCAGAGGGCAGUGAAGCAGGCGUGAAAGAAGAGCAGCAAAAAGAGCAGAUUAUUCCUGUCCUCACAGCUCAGGAUCAGAGUGACCGUCAGAUGUGCCAUGAGGUUAGCAGCCCAUUAGUUAGCCCAUUAACAGAGACAGUGGUGAAUGUGGGCUCUGCCUCACUGGUAACCAAUACCCCUCUACUAGAUUUACAAGGACGUUCGGAUGUGUGUGAGACUGACGUGGCACACAGCUUGUUGUCUGUAAAGAUUGUCCGGUCAUUCAGGGAUCCCACUGGAAAAGAAACCACCUGAUAAAAGUACAACACUGGCCUCUUUUCUCCUGCAUGAGGAGGAAGAGGAGCCCGGGACUAGAGUUACCUUCCUGAUUGGCGAGUCCAUGUCACCGAGUCCGACUCGGAGAGCCAGAGACACAGGGUUGAAGAUGAGCUCAAGAAACACAAAAUGCAUUUCACUGAAAAACCAAAGCAGCAGUGUUGCCAUGUAAAGCAGCAGUGUAGCACUGCGCUGGCUAAGCCUCUAAUAAUGGACCAAAUCGAGAGCAAGGAUGCUAAAACCUUGUCAUACGUCGCUAGCAAUCUUCCUUGCGUUAACCCAGGUGCCCAGGAGGAGUGCAUGGACCUGUUGAUGAGUAUUUUUGUGACGGUAACUCUGUCGAAACAAGGACUAUCGGCGAUGUCUCCAAAGCAGUUUCACAGGAGGUUGCAGAUGCUGAAAAACACAAUUUGCAAGAGACUUGGACGAAAUCCCUAAUUAGGACAUAUGAACAGCAGGACAAAAGCAUCAGAGUUUCACUCAGUGUACCAGGCCUGGAGAAAGAGAGGGAACGGACGAAGACGUCCCCCCUGAACGAGUGGGAGAUUCCACGAAAUGAGAGUUUCAGACAGCGCCCUGGGAGACAGUGAAAGUGAGGACACAGGACAGGAUUUACCCAGACAAGAGCAAGAUGCACAGUUCUUCAGUGAAAUCCAAAAUGACUGGCAAGAAGAGAUGGAAGUACCAUUCCCUGGGUAUGUGAAACUUUGUGG
ensembl:lncRNA